CUCCUCCUUCUCCUCCCUCCGGAGUGAAACCCGAGCGCCCCACCCCGCGCCUGACCUCCCCGGGCCCCUCCCCCGGGCCCGCCCCUUCCCGGUUUGGGACCCCUUAGCGCCGAGGGUGCCCCCUGCACCCCAGGAGUUCACUCCUGCCUCCCAAGGGUAAGUUCUCCCGAGCGUUGACUUUUCAAGGACUCUUUCACCGGCCUCGCGGAGACCUUCCGUGGCUCCCCGCCCCCGGUCCCGUCCCUCCGACGUGGCUACUUUUCGGGGUGGGCAGUAUAAAGGGCCGGAGGCAGCGCGGGCCGAGACCCGAGACGUGGCGCGUCCGCCCUACCCGUCUAUGCUACAGGUACGUGAGCGUCCCGUAGUGGGAUCGGUGCAGAGGGUGGGCGGGAGCCAUCGGUCCUCUCGGACUCGGAGUUUGAGAUUUUGUUCCUCUGUGACAUCCUCUUGCGUGCUGAGCAAGAAACUCCUUAAUGAAGACUGGGAGAGUCGCUGAGGGUUCUUGAAGGAGCAGUUUGGGGGUGAGGCUCCCACCUAAUUCAGGCCGCUUUCAGAGGGGUUAAACCAGGGAAAUGAACACGUGUGCCGGACCAGGGAAGCAGAUCAAGAGAUCACCAAAUAGCCACGCUGAGCUUAGGCAGAGAAGCUCCAUCUAGACCAAAGUCAUCUCUUCCAAUUCUGGGGCAGAAAUUCCCUGUUGCACUUUUGCGAGAUGUUUGGGCCUUGCUGAUUAAACACUCCUCGGAUGAGAAGUUUAUAAUUGGAAAACAAAGUACCUUUGAAGACUCCUGUAGCUUGAUACUUUGUUGCAAUUCUACAGCUUUUAAGGAGAGAGGUCAGCUUCUCUGGGUUUAAAACUGUGAAAAUGGGCGAGUGUUAAAAUAAUAGGAUAAGACAGUAAAACCUGGGUUCUCUGUCCUGUCCUGAAUGGUCAUGUGUAACCCUUUCCCUCAGGAUGGGGGUGGGGGACAGUCUGCGUUUUUGGUUUUUUUUUUCCUUCCUUCUAUGCUUCAAAGGAUGGCUUUAAGGUGCUCCUGCCUAAGGAAACUAUGAAUGUCCUCUCUCAACCGCAGUAACAUAAGGAUGGCCGUAUGGUCCAUGUUCACACAGCCGCUUUUAGAGUCAAUGCCAGCCCUUUGAUGGGUCAGGCAAAUACUGAGAACAGUCCUGUACAUCCAUGGGAUUCCAUUGAGUUCAUCCAUGAAACACAGCGCCAUUGCGGGUAGAGUGUGUCAUAGCUCAUGCAGGACAGAGCAGAUCCAAGAGGAGGACAGUAGCAUAUAAGUUGCCAUCAAUCUGUCUUUAUUUCCUAUUAUUGUUCUAAUGAAAGAAGUGAAACACUUCUGAAGGCGUCCAUAUAAACCCAUUCCAUACCCAAAUGCCUAGUCUCUCCAACUGGUGAUGGGGCUGCCUCGGAUGCUUGGGGCCACACUCUGAUUUCCUUUAAGAGGUCUGGGAGGAAGUGUCAGUCCAGUCCCUGGCAGCCCCCUUGGUAAGCAUUCCUCCCUGAGCUGGGCUUCUAGCCUGGUGCGUGGUAGCUGCUGGCUUCUGGGACUUGAAUGAAAACCUUAGCACUUUACUUUCUGUGCUGGGGGCGGGCUCCAUUCCGGACAUUCCGCUUCUCUGGCCUACGUGGCACAGGCCUAGGAGCCUCUCUGGAGCAGGCGGCUGGCCAAGCUCUUGCCUGGAUGCCUGGUGAAGGCGGGGGAGGACCUCUGCUUUAUGCUGAACCCGAAGUCUCUCAGAUGGGCAGCUCAGAGCUCAUACAGGGGAAUGAAGACCGAAAUUAGGACCAAAAAUAUUUACCAAACUUUUCCUUGCCUCUUAAGGUAGCAGUUGAAAGCAGCCAACACUUUUUUUUUUUCUUUUUAAUUUAAGAAAAAGAAUUUCUUAACAAACAGAGUUAAGCAGUGGAAAGAGGACUUUUAACACUUAACUAGGCAAAUUAAGUAAUUUUGUGUUAUCUGGGGAGUGGGGGGAUUCAGUUUUGCUGUUUCAGGUUGUACUGAACCAUCCUUAAAAGAAUGUAUUUUAGUGAUAAUUAACUACAAAUUACUAAUAAUUAGCAAGGAAAUAAAUGAUAAUUUAGAGUGCAUUCUUGGCUUAAAAUGAAACGAGUGUCAGUUGAGGAUUGCGUUUGACCUGGCUCUCUUUAAAAUUAUUUUAAAGUAUACAGAGUUAGUUCCUUUUUCUAAAUGAAAUUUCCUUUCCUUUUUCCUUUGAAAAAGACUUGCUCACUUACAUUAAGCUGCUUCUCAUCACAUUGUACAAUUAAGGGUAGUCGUUUUUAAACAAAAACUGUUUAGUCCUCUUCAGAAUAGAAAUACAGUCCUCCCUAAUCUGCUUCAGGUGAACCAUGCACAUGAGGUCAAUGAAUGAGAUGACCAAAGCGACACAUGGUGAAAAUGAUGAAUUCUGGGGCACUGAUUCAUAUGACUUGAAAAAUGCCAUCCAUUUCCUGAUUCACCACAAUCUUUACUCUGAAAUAUAAAGCAUCACUUGUGUCUCUGGACUAAUCAGCCAAUUCUGUCUUGUCUUUACACCCCUCUCUAGUGCUUGAAUUUGGGCCAUAAGGCUCAACUGCCAGCCCAGAGCCAAGGAACAGGGUGGGGGCUGAAGGAGCAUCACCUGGAGGAGAGGCAAAGAUGCUGCUGGGGACCACAAGUGCCCUUUAAAGGAAACCAUGGGAGUGGUGGUGUUUAAGAUGUGGUAAGACAGUAUUAAAAUUCUGGAGGGAAAAAAAAAAAAAAAAACCUCAGUCCAAAAUGUGUGACCUCUUUUCAUUUACCUCUUAACUGGAUUUUCCUAAAAAUGAUCGAGGCAAGUGUUACAAUUGUCAUCCAUGCAUUUCUCUUUUUAUCCUUGGUUUCCUUCUUUUAGAUCCAUGGCAUUUAAGAACUGAGAAGAAAAAGAAAAAAAAAAGAAACUUAAAAGGAAAAAAGAAAGCUUGAUCAUCUGAAUUAUCCCAUCAUUUUUUUUUCUUAGCACAGCUAGACAUUGCUUAAAAAAAAAAAAAAAAGUGAGGUUUGAUGACUCAGUGUGGUUGCCUAGAGUUAGAGCUCUUUUUUUUUUUCCAUAUACUAUAAAUGACUUGGAAGACUCAUGAUUGUGGCUAUGGGUGACACCGUGAUGUCCCCAAAGUUUUGACAGAUGAAGAAUCUCAAGAUGGGGAGAUUUCAGGGAACUCACAGCCCCUACUACAUUCUCUUGAGCUUCACCAAGUUCGGUUUACGGUUCUUUUGCCCCAGGAAGCAUCCUGGUCCUCCCAUGCAGAGCUCACUCUCUCAGUGCUUACCUGUAAGCAGACCAGUUCUGUUCCUAAAGCAACAGCCCAGACUCUUUGAAAGAAAGUGGCCUUGGCACAUUUGAGAAUGACCACAAGUGGGCGUGUUGCAAAGCAGGAGUUCCUGGUCCCUAUGCUGUGCUAGUCUGCACUGAAGACUCCAUCAAGGUCCCUUCUCUGACAUCUGAUUUCCACCUGGUUCUACCCACGGCUGCCUCACCUUUGCCAGGUAGAGGGAUGUGCUUUGUUGUUGCUGGUUGUUAAAUGGAAGCUGAUACAGAAUGACCUGCCCUCACCAUUCCAGGUGAGUUCUUCUCACCUAUGGGUUCUCUUGAAUUCAUUUCCCAAAUGAGAACCAUAUCCCUCGACCUCAUGCCACAUUCAAGAAAGCAACCCAGUUAAGUCCAGUGGCCAAAGCAAUGAACGGCUCAAAAUGCAACCACCCAAGCCUACAUUCAACAAGACGUACUCACUAUCAGUUACGGGGGAUGUUUCAUAGCAGUUUUUUUUUUUUUUCCUUUUCUUUUUUUUUUGGGGGGGGGGCGGGGGAGUAUAUAGCCAUCCUUAAAAUUUCAGUAAGACAUUGUAUUUUACUUCAGCUAUAUAUACAGAAAACCAAAGUAUUCUAGAAAUCUAGAAAUAGUUUGCCUUAUCUUUUGGGUUAUAUUUCUAGAUAUAUUUUUCUAACCACCCAGUUUCCUUAAGAGAAAACUGGUGUCCUCAAAACAGCCCAAGUUGUCUUUUAUAAGUUUGGUGCAGGGAAAGGGGAAAAUGCUAAGUUUAAAAGAUUUUUGGAAUAUCUACAGGAAAUGCAGAUGGUUUGUGGCAUGAAGAUAAAGCAUCCGUAUGGUUAGCUGAGUGUUAUUUUCUGACAUUGAGACUGGGAUAUAUCUUAAGUGCCUAUGAGUAAAGAAUGGGUAUUAAAAAAAAAGAUAUUUGACACUUAUUAAUCAAUGUCAUUUAUAUUCCUGACUUUGAAACUAGAGCUUUGGGAGGAAAUAAGUACCUUUGUAAAUGUAUUUUCAAAAAUAGUGUUCACCCUCCUUAGACUUAGAAGCACGAAUUACUGUGUCUUAGUUUAUUUCAUCACUUACCAGGGAGAUUAACUCAUAAUGACCUUGAAUUCAAUGAAAACAAUAUGUAUGAAAUUAAACCAAAAUGUCUUCUGAAGCAAAUCAGUAGGAAGAAGGCCAUCAAGGAUCCAAAGCCCUUCUGUCAAAUCUCAUUUCAGACCCCCCUUCUCAUUCUCAUUAUUACGUCCUUGAUUUAGCAUGUCAGCUUCUCUCAUCCAAAUACCAACACCUCCUGCAGGUCUACCUGCCGUCAAUAGUUAUUUCCCAAACAGCAGCAUCCCCAUCACCACCACGCACAUACCAACCUUCAUAACACUGAUUUUAUUUAAAUUGCAAACUACCUGGCUUUAAAACAAGAACAAAGAACAAAGCUUGCUUGCAGCUAGGUGAGACCAUGGAACUUCAGGAUCACUAAGACAGGAAACAAGGUGGAAUUUCUUGGAAGGCUUAAACUAACAGGGAAUGAUCUUUUCUGCCUUUCUUCCUGAAAUUUGGUUGUGAUAGGUGAAAUUCCAUGAGCCAUCUUGAAUUUCGAGGUGACCUUGAGGAGGAAGCUAUGAGCCAAGGAUGGUAGUGUGAAAGGAGCACCAAUCAGUGGUGAAUCUGUGGCACCUCCAUCUCAGUGCUAAACCUCCUCACCCCAGACUUCACAACAUGAGAAACUCUGCUCCAUGUGCUUUAUCCAUCAUCAUUUCUGUUUUUCACAUAAGAAUGUACUUGCUGCUGAGUAGAAUGAAGAGCAACACAGAACCAUCCCUGCCCUUUUCAGAAACACCAUGGAAGUAGAUGUUAAUUAUGGAGCUGACACCUAUGUGAUUAUAAGUCCUGAUUAGUGCAAUGAUAGACAAACACACAGGGAUCAGGGACUCAGGAGAGGCGCCACUGAAAAAAGUAGCACCUGAGUUGACAUUUGGUGGAAAAGGAGAGACCAACAAAAAGGUGGGAAGAUGGGAAGAGAGUAGACUCCAGAGGAGAGGAGAAAUGUUGAUUAACAUUGGACUUUAAUUCAAACACCCUUAUUAUGAUAACAAAGGCAGUAAUCAUAAUUGCAGAGAACAGCAAUAAAUAACAGUCAGAGGUCAUUGCACACUAUUAUAACAAAAUACCUUAAACUCAGUAAUACAUAAGUAAUAAAAAUUCACUUCUCAUGGUUCUAAAGGCUGGGGAGUCCACAAUCCAGGAGGCUUAGAGAUGGUGAGGGCUUGGUCUGUGCCUUCAUGAUGGAACCUCGUUGCAGGACCUUCUGGAGGGAAAACACUGUGUCCUCGUAUGAUGGAUAAGAUGGAAGGGCAAGAAGGCCCAGCUAGAUCUCUCUACCGCUUUUAUAAAGUUGCUGAUCCCACCCAUGAGGACAGAGCCUCACAGACAGAUCACCUUCUAAAUGUCCCAGCUCUUUUAACUGUUCCACAGAUGAGUAAAUUUCAACAUAAAAUUUGAAGGUAGCACUUUUAAACCAUAGCAAUCUGCCCCUGCGUUCACCAAAUUCAUGUCCUUGUCACAGGCAAAAUGCAUUCAUUCCAUCCCAAUAACCAUGAACUUAUUCCAACAUCAAUUUGAAGUCUAAGUCUCAUUCCUCUAAAUAUCAUCUAUAUCAGGUAUGGGUGAGACUCAGGUAAGAUUCAUAUGAGGCAAAUCCCUCUCCAGCCGUGAGCCUGUACAAUCAAGGAAGUUGUCAGAUUCUGACAUGCAGUUGUAGGACAGUUAUAGGGCAAAUAUGCCCAUUCCAAAGGGGAUGAAAAGGCAAGAAGAAAGGAGUAACAGAUCCCUACUAAGUCCUCUCACAGGUAAAUGCUAUUAAAUCCAGAGGCUUGAGAAUAAUCUUUGUCAAACAAUGGGGUGAGGUUGGAUCUAUGAGGCUCCUAGUAGCCCUGCCCCACAGUAUAGCUAAAUAUAGCUCACACGUUCUCCUGAGUUGCAGACCAAUGCCUGCAGCUCUCCUAGGCUGGCAUUGCAUGCUGUGCCUCUGCUGGUCUAGGGUGUUGAGCAGCCCUGCCCCACAGCUCCACUGGGCACUGCCCUAGUGGGUCAUAGCAGUCCUGCCCCUGUAGCAGAUCUGCCUGGGUCCUGGUUCUCCCAGGUCUCCAUAGCUCUGCAUUCUGUGCAUCUUUUGAGUUGCACUGCAGAAACUCUGCUGAAGUUUGUCACUUGUCCCAUUCAUGAGGGUAGUUCAAGCCACACCUGGAUCCACUCAAACAGCAGUUGGGACAGCUAAGGAGCACUGUGCUAGAAAGCAGGCAGCUGAGACUUGAGCCAGCCGGGAGGUCUCACAGAUAGCCUAGGUCUCCCUAAAAUCAUUUGUGCUCAUGGCCCUGGCACUCUGGGUCUGUGAUUGGAAGGAUAGCUUGGAAAAUCUUUAAAAUGCCUAGGAAAUCAUUCUCCCGUGGUGGUCUUGACAAAUAGCUUCUGACUUCUUAACAUCUAUACUCAUUUCCUUACCCUAACUCACCCAGGCCUUCUUUCCUAAACAUGUCUUUUUGUGCUGUAGAACAUGGCCAGAUUAAGAAUGUUCUUAAUCUCAAGUUCUACUUCCCUUUUGAUUAUAAACUCCAUCUUUACUUUUUUGUCUUUUUUCUUGUGUUUUACCAAAAGCCAUGCUGUACUCUGAACCCUUUGCCUAGGAAUUUCUUCUGCCGAAAUCCUAGCUAAUUGCCCUUUUUUUCUGCCUUCCACGAAGCACUAGCAUGUGGGCACAAUUCAGUCAACUUUUUGCUGCUUCAUAAAAGGAUUACCCCUUCUACCAGUUUCCAAUAACUUAUUCCUCAUUUCUGUCUGAGACCUCAUUAGGAUGACCCUCAUUGUCUGGAUUUCUACCAACAUUCUGAUCAGUUGAAAAAACAACAUGUACAACAUACAUGAUGCAGCUAAAGCAAUAUUUAUACAGAAAUUUAGCUGUGAAUGCUUUUAUUAGGAAAGAACUUAAGGUAAACGUCCAACUCAAAAAGUCAGAAAAAUAACUGGGUUAAAAAAAAGCAAAGUAGUUAAUAUCACAUAUCAUAAAAUAGACUAUAAGGAUAUAAUAGAAUAACUCAAAAGCUGUUUUUAAAAGAUUAGUAAACAGUAAAACCUCUGUGAUGUAUGAAACUUAGAAACGUUUAACUUUAUAAAACUACAGAAACAAUGACAGUGCAUUUAGAAAUAUAGUCAUUAAAGAAACUGAAUAGUAAAUACCAAGUAAAACAGAAAAACAGGUGUGGGUGGUUUUCUCAGAAAUAUUCAAGACACAAUUAUUCCUUAUUUUACAAAAUGUUUUCCAGUGAAUAGAAAAAUCUUAGACCAAAUUCAAACAUUCAAAAAUGUUUUAUCAUUAGAAAAAAAUGCAGGUAUAAAUCAUAUCAUCAGCAGAUUAAAUAAAAAUCAUAUGAUCAUUUUAAUAGCAACAGAAUAUGCAUUGCUAAUAUUGAGCAUGAAUUUAUCAUUCAAAAAAACCUCUUAGCUGACUAGUUAAUAGAAGGUAAUUUACAUAAUUUAAUAGACUAUUUGCCAAAACCAUCAACAAAAAACUUCAUAUUUAUGGUGAAAACUUGGAGGCAUUCUAUUAAAAGAGGAGGCUUAGACCGGCAUCCUUCUUAAGGACACUUCUCUUUAAUACUGAAACAAUUAUCGAAAGGGGAGAACUUUUUAAUUGCAGGUGAUACAAUUAUAAAAACUCUUAGGAAAAUAGACCAAAUCAAGUGUUUAGAAUAAAAAUUCUGCAAGUUCUGAAACUCUUUCAUGUCACAUUUAUAAAACUAAAUUUAUAGAUCCUAAAGAUGGC
rnacentral:lncRNA from 1 species